GUUUUAAUAAUUUAAAUAAAAUAUUGAUUUUGUAAAUCAAAAAUAAGAAUUCUUUUAAAACU
rnacentral:tRNA from 1 species